CAGUAGCCGCGGGAAUACGAAGGGGGCUAGCGUUGCUCGGAAUUACUGGGCGUAAAGGGCGCGUAGGCGGACAGUUCAGUCGGGGGUGAAAGCCCGGGGCUCAACCUCGGAAUUGCCUUCGAUACUGGCUGUCUUGAGUAUGAGAGAGGUGUGUGGAACUCCGAGUGUAGAGGUGAAAUUCGUAGAUAUUCGGAAGAACACCAGUGGCGAAGGCGACACACUGGCUCAUUACUGACGCUGAGGCGCGAAAGCGUGGUGAGCAAACAGGAUUAGAUACCCGAGUAGUCCCUGUCUCUUAUAC
rnacentral:rRNA from 1 species